UUCACCGAAUGCUUGCAUUCACCGAAAGAAGCUUAGUGGCGAACGGGUGAGUAACACGUAGGCAACCUGCCCAAAAGAGGGGGAUAACACUUGGAAACAGGUGCUAAUACCGCAUAACCAUGAACACCGCAUGAUGUUCAUGUAAAAGACGGCUUUUGCUGUCACUUUUGGAUGGGCCUGCGGCGUAUUAACUUGUUGGUGGGGUAACGGCCUACCAAGGUGAUGAUACGUAGCCGAACUGAGAGGUUGAUCGGCCACAUUGGGACUGAGACACGGCCCAAACUCCUACGGGAGGCAGCAGUAGGGAAUCUUCCACAAUGGACGAAAGUCUGAUGGAGCAACGCCGCGUGAAUGAAGAAGGCCUUCGGGUCGUAAAAUUCUGUUGUCAGAGAAGAACGUGCGUGAGAGUAACUGUUCACGUAUUGACGGUAUCUGACCAGAAAGCCACGGCUAACUACGUGCCAGCAGCCGCGGUAAUACGUAGGUGGCGAGCGUUGUCCGGAUUUAUUGGGCGUAAAGGGAACGCAGGCGGUCUUUUAAGUCUGAUGUGAAAGCCUUCGGCUUAACCGAAGUAGUGCAUUGGAAACUGGAAGACUUGAGUGCAGAAGAGGAGAGUGGAACUCCAUGUGUAGCGGUGAAAUGCGUAGAUAUAUGGAAGAACG
rnacentral:rRNA from 1 species